rnacentral:rRNA from 1 species
GACGAACGCUGGCGGCGUGCUUAACACAUGCAAGUCGAACGGGAUUUAGUAAACAGAAACCUCGGUGGAAGAUUACUAAUGAGAGUGGCGAACGGGUGAGUAACGCGUGAGCAACCUGCCUAUGACAGUGGGAUAGCCUCGGGAAACCGGGAUUAAUACCGCAUAAAAUCGUAGAAACACAUGUUUUAACGGUCAAAGAUUUAUCGGUCAUAGAUGGGCUCGCGUCUGAUUAGCUAGUUGGUGAGAUAACAGCCCACCAAGGCGACGAUCAGUAGCCGGUCUGAGAGGAUGAACGGCCACAUUGGAACUGAGACACGGUCCAAACUCCUACGGGAGGCAGCAGUGGGGAAUAGUGCACAAUGGGGGAAACCCUGAGGCAGCGACGCCGCGUGAACGAAGAAGGUAUGCGUAUCGUAAAGUUCUGUCCUAUGGGAAGAUAAUGACAGGACCAUAGAAGAAAGCUCCGGCUAAAUACG